CUUAUCUCUAGCAACCAACUUCAUUUGUAAGAUGUCAAUUACAGGACUGAUUUUUCUGGGAGACUUAGAAUCAUUAGAUAAUGACCAUGAGCCAAAGAUUCACUUUUGAGUUUGGUACGCACUGCUUGAAGGCUGGGUAUGACUAUAUGAUUGUUUUUUUUUUUUUUUCUCUCCCAGUUUGAACACAUUAAUUGGCAGAAGUUUCCCCUGUGAUCUUCCAGUACAACAUUCUUCCUGCAGCCACACCUGACCAGUGGGAGGACUGACUAAAUUCUUCAUCCUCUCCAUCCCAUGCCUUUACGUCUGCUGUGUCUCCCACGUGUUCGUGGAUCGUGCCUGAGGCUGGGACAGACAACUCACAACCAUGAAGAAAAGGCAAAGAGAAUCACAAAGAUGCCAGCCCAACGCUGGGAAGCUACUAGCCUACACCAAUGCUAACAACCAUCCAUUUAUGACUUCUUGUCAUGUGAGGAGAAUGAACCUUCUGUGUUUGGAAAAACGAAGGCUCAGAGACCCUGGAUCACCCAGUGAGUAAGCAGCAUGCCCAGGUCUAGCAUACCAUUCUCCUGCUUUCAGCUCUUGUAUGCUAUCCACAUGCUUACAGCAUGCUUGGACAAUGCAGAAACUCAGCUUUGGUACUUUGGGUAAUCUGUUCAUCUGUGAAAUGGGAUAACUCAUGCUGAUCUACGGACAAAAAUAACUGUAAGGAUGACAUGAAAUGAUGCAGAUAGCAGGCACUCAAAAAACAGAGCUCUAUCAACAUUCCUGCUUCCUCUCAAUGACUGGCACUGAACCGUCCUUAACACCCCAUUUCUAAGCCAAGAGAUUCUUCAAGACCAAGCCAAGUCUGCCGUGCCACUGUCCCCCGCAGGAGCCUCUGGCUUCAUCAAGCCCACAGAUCCACAGUUGCUUUGUUCGCCGAGUGACAUUUCUAUCAGGCACCACCUUGGGCUGGUCACAGAAACUUCGUAGGAGCCAUCAGUCCUGGAGCUCAGUACCCCAGGGUUGAUGCCUUGACAACUGUGUCACCACUCUCUUAUUACCUAUCUGGAGGGUCACCUUUCUGACAGACAGCUUUGAAAAUUCUUUAUUAAACUUUUUUUUUUUUUUAGUAGAAAAGACAGAUUAUAGUUCUGACAUGCUCUACUUAUUAUGACAUGAAACAAUGUUCUUAUUUCUUUUGCUUGGGGAUGUUGAACUGCUGGCUUUGGCCCAUGUGGGGUGUCACAAUGAUGUAUUAGUUAUUAGGUCAGACUUUCCGUAACCUUUACGUAUUCAUUUAUUCACUCACUCACUCACUUACUCACUCACUCACCUAUACAUUUGAAAGUCUACUGUGAACCGGGUCUAACAGAGGUUAGACAUUUAGUGGAUUACACAAAAAAAACAAAACAUUUACCCUCAGUCUUUGAUCUGAGGAUGUCCCAGUUUAAUAGGCAAUGCAAGGGGGCAAAAAAGAUAAAAUUUUACCGCCGUGGUAAGUGAAAUAAAAGACCUAUGUGUUGUACUUGGUAACAUAACUUUGGCAGGAUGGAAACCAGAAUUGGUAGUGUAUCUGUAGAGUGGGGUGCCUGGUUCACUCUGGAUGAUGACAGGUGGUACAGCAGCAGAGGCUGAAGACUAGAUUUUGUUGGAAUACUCUAUAAUCUGUGUAUAGGAGAAGGAAGAGGAGCUGAUCAUUCACAGUUGAAAUAAGCUGGUGACAGGUACUCCUCUCCAAAAGAAGGCCUGGGUGCCAGAUUUUGGGCUCAGAGUGACUUAAUAGUUCUGAUACACAUUUGAUAAAUAAUAUCACAAAGGCACCACUGAACAUCUGAAUAUAUGAACAGAGAGCUAUGAAAAAGGUAGUGACUAACCCUGCCAGGGGAGGUGUAGGAAGUGCCCCAGAAAAUAUGAUAUUUGAAGAGGGCAUUAAGCAUUCAGAGGGCAUUAAGCAUCCAUGAGAAGCGGAAGUAUGGCAUCUGAGCAGAGCAAAGGUGAAGGUGACAUGCUCUGAGAAGGAUGAGGAUUUCUUCAGAACAAAGUAUGAUUGGGGGCUGGGGUGGGAGGUGAAGCUCAGGGCACGUUGGGACCAUUUUAACACCAGGUCAUGGAGUCCAGGCUUUCUCUUCAGUAGGACUUGCUGGGCUGGUGGCUGGUUUAUGCAGAGGAGUGUUAUGAGAGACUGGAGUGCAGACAAAUCUCUCUGCGGGCGGUAUGGGUUUAUGGGAGGGUAGACUGAAAGCUCAGAGACACAAGGCAAAGAAACAGGUCAGGUGGCUACUACAACCACCCAAAAAGAGAAGCUGGGAGACCUUCCCUCAGGUUUCAAUCCAGCUAAGGCCAGUAAAACCCAUGUGUUCAUUUAGGAGACUCUUGUAUAUUUAUUAAAUAAAUAAACAAAAGAGAAAAGGCCAGGGAUCAAUGAGUUUCUUAAACAAAAAUUUAAAAGGCAAAACUAAGAUAUGUUAAAUAACACCUAGUAGAAUUUAAAGUGUACAUACUUUGUGGAAUAAAUGCAUAAAGACAUCAGAAAUAAUCAAGUAUGGAAUAAGGGUAUGGGUCUAGUGAAACAGGGCACUGAAAAAGCUGUAAACUUCCCAGGCAGAAACCUCUGCUCUCAUCCUGAGUCUGUUUUCAUUUAUGUAUCAUGUGAUAUCAUGUAUCAUGUGCAAUACAUGUGAUUAGUAAUUUGACUCACCCCCUCAGUAAAAGUCACAGUUCCUGUUUACCGAGCACCUGCUAGGCUUAAUCAUGCACAAUGCUCAGGAUACCACCUAUAUUAUCUCAGCCAAUCUGAACAACAAUGGCAAAGCAGGCUUUAUCAGGCCUGAGGUUCAGAGAGUUUAGGGAUUUACCCAAGGUUGCGGAGCAGUCAGCAGAAUUGAGAUUUGACCCUGAUCUAUCCAGCUGUGGAAAGAUUCUCUGCGACGGUACAUCCUCUGCGAUGGUGCGCCCUAGGCAGUAGAAACCACAGAAGAAAGCCAGAAAACCAGCCAGAUAGAUGGCUGCUGAAACAAUUCAAGAGAGACAUGAUGAUCUACUAUAAUGGCGGUGGAGAACAGAUAGAAGUAAAGUGAUGGAGUCUGCU
rnacentral:lncRNA from 10 species